rnacentral:rRNA from 1 species
UGGGGAAUAUUGGACAAUGGGCGCAAGCCUGAUCCAGCCAUGCCGCGUGAGUGAUGAAGGCCCUAGGGUUGUAAAGCUCUUUCACCGGUGAAGAUAAUGACGGUAACCGGAGAAGAAGCCCCGGCUAACUUCGUGCCAGCAGCCGCGGUAAUACGAAGGGGGCUAGCGUUGUUCGGAUUUACUGGGCGUAAAGCGCACGUAGGCGGACUUUUAAGUCAGGGGUGAAAUCCCGGGGCUCAACCCCGGAACUGCCUUUGAUACUGGAAGUCUUGAGUAUGGUAGAGGUGAGUGGAAUUCCGAGUGUAGAGGUGAAAUUCGUAGAUAUUCGGAGGAUCACCAGUGGCGAAGGCGGCUCACUGGACCAUUACUGACGCUGAGGUGCGAAAGCGUGGGGAGCAAACAGG